UACGUAGGGGGCUAGCGUUGUCCGGAUUUAUUGGGCGUAAAGAGCGUGUAGGCGGCCAGGUAGGUCUGCUGUGAAAACUCGAGGCUCAACCUCGAGAUGUCGGCGGAAACCAUCUGGCUAGAGUCCGGAAGAGGAGAGUGGAAUUCCUGGUGUAGCGGUGAAAUGCGCAGAUAUCAGGAGGAACACCAAUAGCGAAGGCAGCUCGCUGGGACGUUACUGACACUAAGGCGCGAAAGCGUGGGGAGCGAACAGG
rnacentral:rRNA from 1 species